GGACGCCAUGCGACGGCUUGCCCCCAAAACCCCGCCAGGGCCGGAAGGCAGCAACGGUAUGGGAGCGGGACGGGCGCCGUGGA
rnacentral:SRP_RNA from 1 species